rnacentral:lncRNA from 1 species
AGAUCUUUCGAGUUUUUCACUAGUUUUCAUCUUGUUUUGAAGAUUUCCGAGUUUUGAGCAAGUUUUGGAGCUUUGAGGUUCAAGAACUCAAAUCUCUUCCAACUCCAAGUUAGAUCGCCUCUACCCUCGAUCUUCAAGAGGUAAGGGUCGAUCUCUAGCUUACUUUAUGUUUUAAGCAAGUUUUAUACAAGUUCAUGGGUUAGAAAAUGCAUGUGUAGCUUAUGUUGAGCUUAUGGGUUUUUGAUGUGAUUUUGAACAAUGUGGCUUGCAAAUGUAUGUUGGAUGUGUGAUAGAUGGGGUUUUAGUUAGUUGAUGCCCCUAGGAACUUG